rnacentral:rRNA from 1 species
GAUGAACGCUGGCGGCGUGCCUAAUACAUGCAAGUCGAGCGAACGGACGAGAAGCUUGCUUCUCUGAUGUUAGCGGCGGACGGGUGAGUAACACGUGGAUAACCUACCUAUAAGACUGGGAUAACUUCGGGAAACCGGAGCUAAUACCGGAUAAUAUUUUGAACCGCAUGGUUCAAAAGUGAAAGACGGUCUUGCUGUCACUUAUAGAUGGAUCCGCGCUGCAUUAGCUAGUUGGUAAGGUAACGGCUUACCAAGGCAACGAUGCAUAGCCGACCUGAGAGGGUGAUCGGCCACACUGGAACUGAGACACGGUCCAGACUCCUACGGGAGGCAGCAGUAGGGAAUCUUCCGCAAUGGGCGAAAGCCUGACGGAGCAACGCCGCGUGAGUGAUGAAGGUCUUCGGAUCGUAAAACUCUGUUAUUAGGGAAGAACAUAUGUGUAAGUAACUGUGCACAUCUUGACGGUACCUAAUCAGAAAGCCACGGCUAACUACGUGCCAGCAGCCGCGGUAAUACGUAGGUGGCAAGCGUUAUCCGGAAUUAUUGGGCGUAAAGCGCGCGUAGGCGGUUUUUUAAGUCUGAUGUGAAAGCCCACGGCUCAACCGUGGAGGGUCAUUGGAAACUGGAAAACUUGAGUGCAGAAGAGGAAAGUGGAAUUCCAUGUGUAGCGGUGAAAUGCGCAGAGAUAUGGAGGAACACCAGUGGCGAAGGCGACCCUCUGGUCUGUAACUGACGCUGAUGUGCGAAAGCGUGGGGAUCAAACAGGAUUAGAUACCCUGGUAGUCCACGCCGUAAACGAUGAGUGCUAAGUGUUAGGGGGUUUCCGCCCCUUAGUGCUGCAGCUAACGCAUUAAGCACUCCGCCUGGGGAGUACGACCGCAAGGUUGAAACUCAAAGGAAUUGACGGGGACCCGCACAAGCGGUGGAGCAUGUGGUUUAAUUCGAAGCAACGCGAAGAACCUUACCAAAUCUUGACAUCCUUUGACAACUCUAGAGAUAGAGCCUUCCCCUUCGGGGGACAAAGUGACAGGUGGUGCAUGGUUGUCGUCAGCUCGUGUCGUGAGAUGUUGGGUUAAGUCCCGCAACGAGCGCAACCCUUAAGCUUAGUUGCCAUCAUUAAGUUGGGCACUCUAAGUUGACUGCCGGUGACAAACCGGAGGAAGGUGGGGAUGACGUCAAAUCAUCAUGCCCCUUAUGAUUUGGGCUACACACGUGCUACAAUGGACAAUACAAAGGGCAGCGAAACCGCGAGGUCAAGCAAAUCCCAUAAAGCUGUUCUCAGUUCGGAUUGUAGUCUGCAACUCGACUACAUGAAGCUGGAAUCGCUAGUAAUCGUAGAUCAGCAUGCUACGGUGAAUACGUUCCCGGGUCU